rnacentral:rRNA from 1 species
UACGAGGGGGGCAAGCGUUGUUCGGAAUUACUGGGCGUAAAGGGUGCGUAGGCGGUUUGUCACGUCUGCUGUGAAAACUGGAGGCUCAACCUCCAGCCUGCAGUGGGUACGGGCAGACUAGAGUGCGGUAGGGGAGAUUGGAAUUCCUGGUGUAGCGGUGGAAUGCGCAGAUAUCAGGAGGAACACCGAUGGCGAAGGCAGAUCUCUGGGCCGUAACUGACGCUGAGGAGCGAAAGCAUGGGGAGCGAACAGG